UGAUCUCAAAUCAGGUAGGAUUACCCGCUGAACUUAAGCAUAUCAAUAAG
rnacentral:rRNA from 1 species